rnacentral:rRNA from 1 species
UAGCUUGCUACCUGACCUAGCGGCGGACGGGUGAGUAAUGCUUAGGAAUCUGCCUAUUAGUGGGGGACAACAUUCCGAAAGGAAUGCUAAUACCGCAUACGCCCUACGGGGGAAAGCAGGGGAUCUUCGGACCUUGCGCUAAUAGAUGAGCCUAAGUCAGAUUAGCUAGUUGGUGGGGUAAAGGCCUACCAAGGCGACGAUCUGUAGCGGGUCUGAGAGGAUGAUCCGCCACACUGGGACUGAGACACGGCCCAGACUCCUACGGGAGGCAGCAGUGGGGAAUAUUGGACAAUGGGCGAAAGCCUGAUCCAGCCAUGCCGCGUGUGUGAAGAAGGCCUUUUGGUUGUAAAGCACUUUAAGCGAGGAGGAGGCUACUGAGAUUAAUACUCUUGGAUAGUGGACGUUACUCGCAGAAUAAGCACCGGCUAACUCUGUGCCAGCAGCCGCGGUAAUACAGAGGGUGCGAGCGUUAAUCGGAUUUACUGGGCGUAAAGCGUGCGUAGGCGGCUUUUUAAGUCGGAUGUGAAAUCCCUGAGCUUAACUUANGAAUUGCAUUCGAUACUGGGAAGCUAGAGUAUGGGAGAGGAUGGUAGAAUUCCAGGUGUAGCGGUGAAAUGCGUAGAGAUCUGGAGGAAUACCGAUGGCGAAGGCAGCCAUCUGGCCUAAUACUGACGCUGAGGUACGAAAGCAUGGGGAGCAAACAGGAUUAGAUACCCUGGUAGUCCAUGCCGUAAACGAUGUCUACUAGCCGUUGGGGCCUUUGAGGCUUUAGUGGCGCAGCUAACGCGAUAAGUAGACCGCCUGGGGAGUACGGUCGCAAGACUAAAACUCAAAUGAAUUGACGGGGGCCCGCACAAGCGGUGGAGCAUGUGGUUUAAUUCGAUGCAACGCGAAGAACCUUACCUGGUCUUGACAUAGUAAGAACUUUCCAGAGAUGGAUUGGUGCCUUCGGGAACUUACAUACAGGUGCUGCAUGGCUGUCGUCAGCUCGUGUCGUGAGAUGUUGGGUUAAGUCCCGCAACGAGCGCAACCCUUUUCCUUAUUUGCCAGCGGGUUAAGCCGGGAACUUUAAGGAUACUGCCAGUGACAAACUGGAGGAAGGCGGGGACGACGUCAAGUCAUCAUGGCCCUUACGACCAGGGCUACACACGUGCUACAAUGGUCGGUACAAAGGGUUGCUACCUAGCGAUAGGAUGCUAAUCUCAAAAAGCCGAUCGUAGUCCGGAUUGGAGUCUGCAACUCGACUCCAUGAAGUCG